rnacentral:rRNA from 1 species
AGUGAACGCUGGCGGUAGGCCUAACACAUGCAAGUCGAACGGCAGCACAGUAAGAGCUUGCUCUUACGGGUGGCGAGUGGCGGACGGGUGAGGAAUACAUCGGAAUCUACUUUUUCGUGGGGGAUAACGUAGGGAAACUUACGCUAAUACCGCAUACGACCUACGGGUGAAAGCAGGGGAUCUUCGGACCUUGCGCGACUGAAUGAGCCGAUGUCGGAUUAGCUAGUUGGCGGGGUAAAGGCCCACCAAGGCGACGAUCCGUAGCUGGUCUGAGAGGAGGAUCAGCCACACUGGAACUGUGACACGGUCCAGACUCCUACGGGAGGCAGCGGUGGGGAAUAUUGUACAAUGGGCGCAAGCCUGAUCCAGCCAUACCGCGUGGGUGAAGAAGGCCUUCGGGUUGUAAAGCUCUUUUGUUGGGAAAGAAAAGCAGCAGGUUAAUACCCCGCUGUUCUGACGGUACCCAAAGAAUAAGCACCGGCUAACUUCGUG